CCCCGGCACCAUGAUAAGGCCGAACAUGGUGCAAAAACGGGAGG
rfam:Tick-borne encephalitis virus gene, complete cds, strain:Oshima 5-10